AUGGCUUCGACGACAUGCAGUGCUCAGAGCAGGUUUGGUUAUGUUAGAUAUUGGAGGUUUCCAUUGAUUGAUGAUAAUGCUUUGCGAAUCUGUUUCUAUGCAGGUGCGAUUUUGCAGUGUAUGGCUAAUGGAUCGGUGAAGGCAGUAGCUUGGAGAAAGGUAAUGACAGUAGAGGUUUUUGAGAGAGUGAAGAGGUUUAGGGUUGGCUUUACAGGGAAGGCUACUUAG